GCUUUAGCAGAUUAGGAAACAGAGAGUCAAAACAGGCCAGCGAGCGCCUCAGACCGCGCAGCCGGCGGAGGCGGCGCUAGGAGGCACAUCCACAGCUGUCGCCUCUUUCAAAAGGGUUGUGCCUAAAUCCGGCGUCGUAGCCCACCCAGCACUGAACCAGGGGGCAUUGUCGUCGAGUAUAAUGUGGAAUCCGCUUUGUCGUGGGACAUUUGUAUUUCUGGGAUUCUUGGCGUCUCUGUGGGCUUCUUGGGUCACACAUCAUAAUGGUUGGUUACGGGCCUGGUCUGAACUGUCCAGCCUGUGUGUCCUCAGUGGUCCUGGUUUGGGUGUUUUGAAGGCCCAGCCCAAGAUUCCGGGGUACAGGGAGUUCCAUGAUUUAAGACCCUUAUGGUAGGUUACAACUAAAUGGUUUUGGCCGUUCUAGCCCUGCUUCCUAGGAACAAACCAACUCCUAAAGUAAAGCGGAAUCCCACCUGGCAGAUGGCCAGUCUGAAUGGCGACCUCCCACCAGGGCUGCAGAGCAGAGGAGGAGGAGGCUGAGAUAGAGCGGACGCUAGAUUCACGCUGCUAGUAGUAAUAUGGGAUCCUUGUGUUCUGCAAGCCACUCUUCAAACUGCUGACAGCCUGAGGUCGGAGCCAAGCUUUGGGAGAGGCGAGCUGGGUGAGCUGGGGCUAAGGCAGGCCUGCCAAGGACAAGUCCCUUCAUUUGAAAGUCUGAGAGAGAAUGGCCUGGGGGAAGGAAAGAACCAUCUACCACCAGGAAAAUUCUCUCUCAGACCUCCCUAACAGCCUUUGACUUCUUUCAGAGCCUCCGCUGUUUUCAGAUCCCGAGGGGCUCUCAUACCACAUGUAGCACUGAGACAUGUGGUUGCUUCCGCCUUUCUGGUUUCACAGACGCAGAAAGUAGUGCCGGAAAGAACUUCCUGAAUUACCUGUUUCUGCUUGCAAUGAAAGAUGAAAAACGCGGAGCUAGAGAGGUUAUCCUGUUCAUUUGUGGCCUAACCAAUAGUCCGAUUUUCAGCUCCACCUUUGUAGUUCCCUGCAUGUAUCCUAGUUCCACAGAAAAUGAAUAGAUCUCAGAGAGAGCACAAGCAAGGGGAGCGGCAGGCAGAGGGAGAAGCAGGCUCCCUGUUGAGCAAGGAGUCUCAUGCCUGGUUGGAUCCCAGAACCUUGGGAUCAUGACCUGAGUGGAACACAGACGCUUUACCGACUGAGCCAUCCAGGCGCCCCUGGAAUAUUGUGAAGACUGAGUCUUCUUUUUGUGAAAAUCAUAGGGCUAUCUACCUUUUCAAGUCUUUUAUUUUAUUUUAUUUAUUUUCAUUUUUAUUUUUAUUUUUUUUUUAAAGAUUUUAUUUAUUUAUUUGUCAGAGAGAGAGCGAGAGCGAGCACAGGCAGACAGAGUGGAAGUCAGAGUCAGGAGCAAGGAGCCCUAUGUGGGACUCGAUCCCAGGAUGCUGGGAUCAUGACCUGAGCCGAAGGCAGCUGCUUAACCAACUGAGCCACCCAGGCAUCCCCCUUUUCAAGUCUUUUAAUGUUAUGCACCAAAAAAUGUCUUUUUUUCCCCCACAAAUUUACUUCUUUUAUGAACUCGAAUUUUUAAAAAAACUUUAUUUGAAAAAAAAAAAAAAAGACUAUUUAUUUGAGAGAGAGAAAACAGCAGGGGAGUUAGGGCAGAGGGAGAAACUGACUCCCUACUGAGCAGGAAGCCCUAUGUGCUGCCACAUCCCAGGACCCCAGAUCAUGACCUGAACUGAAGGCAGAUGCUUAACUGACUGAACCACCCAGGUGUCCCUAUUUUGUACCACUUUUGAUGUUAUUGUGAAUGGAUUAUUUCUGCUAUCGUAGGAAAAUUUUUUUUCCCAUUUUACAAAAUAUUUUUUUCUGCAAGGACAGUGAUAAAAAUGAUGCAUAUAAUCUCAUUCCUGCAAACUACAAGAAGGUUGUGUAUCUAACAGUUAAGCACAUAAAUCUCAGGGAGCAGGAGGUGAAGGAAGCUGUGUCCAUUGUUUUUGUUGUGUGUAUUUUCUGAUUUUCCUAAAAUUUUCGUGUUUCACUGUAUAAUCUUUGCAGGCUAGCAUCAUCAGAAGAAUGAUGAUGAAACAUCCUCACUAUUGUCCUACCCUGGGAGAAGCCCUGCUGUUCGGAUGCAGGUCCCUCUUAGGCUGGCGGGUCUCGGGUCUCCGCUUCCCCUGUUGUUGGGGCCCCGCGUCUCCCAGAGCCUCCGUGGUACACGCUCUCCGCCGGGGCUGCUGGGAAGUUGCCCGCGCGGCCCCGCUACGCACGUACGCUCGGCGGCGGGGCCUAUAGCUCUGCUGCGUUGGGUGGAUGGCCGGUGUCCGUAUGCGUAACGCGGCUGUGAGGACCCCGUAGUGGGUGCCUCCCGACCUUGGGGUGGGAAAGGCGGUCCUCCCACAGGAAAAGCGGGUCUUGGCUCCGGAGGCCUGGGAGGGUUGCAGCCCCGGGCGGGUGCGCCCGGCCUGCGAAGGCGGUUCUGGUCCGCUCCCAGCAGCGCCCCCUGGAGGAGGCCCGGCUGUUCAGCUCGCUUCUCUGCGCUGAGAACCAAGGCAUGUUUGAGCCCAGUAGUGUGGAGUGGUUAAUGAUAAAGCCGUUGGCAUUUCGUUGAAUUUUCACAACCAUUUGUUGUAGCAGAUAAGAACUAGUUUUGGAGAGAUGAUGAUUCACCCGAGUUCACAUAGCCCACAGAUGAGGGGGUUGGGUUAAAGGCCAGAUCUGUUUUCCAAAUCUCUUGCUGCUGCUAAAAGGCCACUCUAUCUGGAAAGUACCUUGGGUUCCUUCACAGCGGCAAAGUGGCAAGAUGCCUGGGGUCAGAGUCCAUAAUCGAGACUGUGGGCCCCUCCCAGUUCUCCCAGUUUGUGUGUCCAGCAGUUCUGAUUUGAGCCUAUAGAAGGUCUAAUCCUGGGAGCAACCUUCAGGAGAGUCAGACUGGGGGUCUUGUGUGAAGAUUCCAGUUAAAUGAUUUUGUUCUGUAGGCCCCAGUUCCAUUUCUUUAGGAACAAAGCAAUUCUUGAAAGAUAAAAGGGAAGGAAUGGCACAAAUCAGAAACCCACCUGAAGGAAAACACCCCUGCGACCUUCCUCAGACCUUUCACCAGAGUUUUGAACGUUAAGUGGAAGUAACCCCCCAAAGAAACAGACUCCAGAUUUCCAAGGCCAGAAGCAAUUUUUUAUCUCCCCGCUCUAAAUGAGCAUGCUUUCAGAUGUCACAUCUGAAACUUCGACAUCUCUGUGACAGUGGAAGAUCAAGAUCAGGUUUCAGCAAGACAGGCGUGCUGCCGUAAGUGGUGUAGCUGAAAAUAAUGGUUUGAGAACCACGGGUAUGAAGACAAAAGCAGGAAAAAGCCCUGAAAGCCACCAUCUGUCCAUGUGGACAAAGACUGGUAACAAGCAGUCUGUGGACUGGCACUAGCCUUCGGGCCACACCCUGAGAAGCAGAAUGACAGAAUGUGACUGAGAACUGAGUGAAGCCAAAGCAGCAGCUCAACUUGGGCCAGGGAAGUACCGGAUAACCUUCAAACUCUGACACCUCAGGCCUGAGGGGCACUACCCACAUACUUCUCAGGAAACUGAAGAAAACCAGGCUGCUUGCAGGAGUGACCAGACUAUCCUACUUAUCACCAGUGGAAAAGAGCUCAUCUCCCUGGAUCCAACAACUUACUUAAAGGUAGGAAAUAGUAAUGCUGAAGUCAGGAGAUGGACAAGAGCUGUCAUCGCACUGGAUUACCUGUAGUCAACCAAAUGUCAUGCUAUAAUCUAGAAUAGCCCUUUACAUGCUGCUUCUGCCUUGAGUUGUAUUUCUCCCAUCCAUUUUGCAACUCCUAAUUUCAGGACAAUAAACAACUACCUUUCUCAA